UACGGGGGGAGCAAGCGUUGUUCGGAUUUACUGGGCGUAAAGGGCGCGUAGGCGGUCGUGACAAGUCACUUGUGAAAUCUCCGGGCUUAACUCGGAACGGUCAAGUGAUACUGUCGGACUAGAGUACAGAAGGGGCAACUGGAAUUCUCGGGUGUAGCGGUGAAAUGCGUAGAUAUCGAGAGGAACACCUGCGGCGAAGGCGGGUUGCUGG
rnacentral:rRNA from 1 species